AGGAAAACAACUCAACUGCGCAUGCUCCAUUUUCAAUGGCUCAGGAGAGACACCAAAAGCCACCCCAGAGAAAUUCUGUCUGCAGCGGGGAUCAAAACUCCUAUGUCCAGGGCUCACAUGGCUCAUUAUCCUGUUCUCAGCUUCAUCACUACUGUCUCCAGCCUGUCUAUCUCAGCAAUCCAUCAAUAGCAAAGUCAAGGCUGGUGGCAUCUACUUCCUUACCUUGCACAACCUGGAUGCAGAGCUUGGCAGUUCCAUUGGAGUCAUCUUUCCUUUCACCAAUGCAGUAGCCAUGGCUGUGAACAGAGACUCUUCUUGCAGACCCUUGUGGAGCUGUUCCAAGUAAUGCCCAGGAGUUCCCAUUGUGGCGCAGUGGUUAACGAAUCCGA